rnacentral:rRNA from 1 species
CACCUCGAUGUCGGCUCAUCACAUCCUGGGGCUGAAGUAGGUCCCAAGGGUAUGGCUGUUCGCCAUUUAAAGUGGUACGCGAGCUGGGUUUAGAACGUCGUGAGACAGUUCGGUCCCUAUCUGCCGUGGGCGCUGGAGAACUGAGGGGGGCUGCUCCUAGUACGAGAGGACCGGAGUGGACGCAUCACUGGUGUUCGGGUUGUCAUGCCAAUGGCACUGCCCGGUAGCUAAAUGCGGAAGAGAUAAGUGCUGAAAGCAUCUAAGCACGAAACUUGCCCCGAGAUGAGUUCUCCCUGACUCCUUGAGAGUCCUGAAGGAACGUUGAAGACGACGACGUUGAUAGGCCGGGUGUGUAAGCGCAGCGAUGCGUUGAGCUAACCGGUACUAAUGAACCGUGAGGCUUAACCUUACAACGCCGAAGGUGUUU